rnacentral:snRNA from 1 species
UCUGUUCUUAUCAGUUUAAUAUCUGAUACGUCCUCUAUCCGAGGACAAUAUAUUAAAUGGAUUUUUGGAGCAGGGAGUUGGAAUAGGAGCUUGCUCCGUCCACUCCACGCAUCGACCUGGUAUUGCAGUAUACUACAUGGCUAUAG